rnacentral:rRNA from 1 species
GAUGAACGCUCGCGCCGUGCCUAAUGCAUGCAAGUCGAGCGAACAGACGAGGGGCUUGCUCCUCUGACGUUAGCGGCGGACGGGUGAGUAACACGUGGAUAACCUACCUAUAAGACUGGGAUAAAUUCGGGAAACCGGAGCUAAUACCGGAUAAUAUAUUGAACCUCAUGGUUCAAUAGUGAAAGACGGUUUUGCUGUCACUUAUAGAUGGAUCCGCGCCGCAUUAGCUAGUUGGUAAGGUAACGGCUUACCAAGGCAACGAUGCGUAGCCGACCUGAGAGGGUGAUCGGCCACACUGGAACUGAGACACGGUCCAGACUCCUACGGGAGGCAGCAGUAGGGAAUCUUCCGCAAUGGGCGAAAGCUUGACGGAGCAACGCCGCGUGAGUGAUGAAGGUCUUCGGAUCGUAAAACUCUGUUAUUAGGGAAGAACAAAUGUGUAAGUAACUAUGCACGUCUUGACGGUACCUAAUCAGAAAGCCACGGCUAACUACGUG